CUGUUGUGGCACCAGAGUACAGUAGGUGAAAGCCUCCCACUGCAUUUGACUUGUAGCUGAGGUUUUGGCUUUUACAAACUUGUUCUCUAUUCAUUUUCAGUUUUUAAGAUACUCUGGAGGUUUCCAUUAUAGUGCCAUGGCGUACAGUAAUAUAAGAGCAGCAAUUUGCAUUCUUUUUGCUAGGAGAUGAGAAUUUUUGAGGAAAUGCACUUUUAUGUCAGAGGAGUGACAGGCAUUGGUGACAGCAGACUUUCUUUUCAGCAAAGAAAGGAAGAAGCUUAUUUCCAUUCCAAGGCCUGCUGCACUGUUUAAACCUUCUGUUUGGUCCAAAACCCUGGCAAACUACCGUUUUGUUCUAUCUAGAUCAUGGGUUGCUCCAGAGCUUCAUCGUGUGAACCACAGAAUAGCAGAGGUUGGAAGGAGUUCCUUCAACAGAGACACCAGGACAAGUAAUCCUGAAUUGCCAAUUUUUCUUGGUCCCCUACUUGCUUACAUCAUGCAGUCUCUACAUGUUCCCAGAUACCUGCCUGAGCCAUGUGCUUGGGCACCCAAGCAAACCAGAUUGUCUUCACAUCUGGACUGGGGACACAGACAGGAACACUCCUGAGGUCAGGACUUACUCUGCUGGCAACCAUUAAAUAUCCAGCCAAGUGCCGCUUAGUCAGAUGGACAAACUUCUAUUGGCUUUAGUGCAACUUAUGUCUGAAUCCAAUUGAUGGAGAUCAGGUUUGGUUACUUCCGUA
ensembl:lncRNA